UACGUAGGGAGCAAGCGUUGUCCGGAAUCAUUGGGCGUAAAGCGCGCGUAGGUGGCCUCAUAAGUCCGCUGUGAAAGUCAAAGGCUCAACCUUUGAAAGCCGGUGGAUACUGUGAGGCUAGAGUACGGAAGAGGCGAGUGGAAUUCCUGGUGUAGAGGUGAAAUUCGUAGAUAUUAGGAAGAACACCAGUGGCGAAGGCGGCUCACUGGUCCGGUACUGACGCUGAGGUGCGAAAGCGUGGGGAGCAAACAGG
rnacentral:rRNA from 1 species